rnacentral:rRNA from 1 species
GGCCUCAAAUCAGACAAGAGUACCCGCUGAACUUAAGCAUAUCAAUAAGCGGAGGAAAAGAAACUAACAAGGAUUCCCCUAGUAACGGCGAGUGAAGCGGGAACAGCUCAAAUUUUAAAUCUGGCUGCUUUGUAGUCCGAGUUGUAAUUUGAAGGAGUCUUGCCGCUGGCAAAACGAUGGCACAAGUCCUCUGGAACGGGGCAUCGUAGAGGGUGAGAAUCCCGUCUCUGGUCAUCACGCGCUGGCAUACGGCAGGCAUCCGAAGAGUCGAGUUGUUUGGGAUUGCAGCUCCAAUUGGGUGGUAAACUCCAUCUAAGGCUAAAUAUUGGCGAGAGACCGAUAGCGAACAAGUACCGUGAGGGAAAGAUGAAAAGAACUUUGAAAAGAGAGUAAAACAGUACGUGAAAUUGUUGAAAGGGAAACGAUUGAAG